GACGAGGGGUCCUAGCGUUGCUCGGAAUUAUUGGGCGUAAAGCGGGUGUAGGUGGCUUUGUAAGUCAGAAGUGAAAGCCCCAGGCUUAACCUGGGAAGUGCUUUUGAUACUGCUUAGCUUGAGUGUGGGAGAGGAUAGUAGAAUUCCUGGUGUAGUGGUGAAAUACGUAGAUAUCAGGAGGAAUACCGGUGGCGAAGGCGACUAUCUGGCCCAACACUGACACUCAGACCCGAAAUCGUCGGGAUCAAACAGG
rnacentral:rRNA from 1 species